UAGGGAAUCUUCCACAAUGGACGAAAGUCUGAUGGAGCAACGCCGCGUGAGUGAUGAAGGUUUUCGGAUCGUAAAACUCUGUUGUAAGGGAAGAACAAGUACGUUAGUAACUGAACGUACCUUGACGGUACCUUAUUAGAAAGCCACGGCUAACUACGUGCCAGCAGCCGCGGUAAUACGUAGGUGGCAAGCGUUGUCCGGAUUUAUUGGGCGUAAAGCGCGCGCAGGUGGUUUCUUAAGUCUGAUGUGAAAGCCCACGGCUCAACCGUGGAGGGUCAUUGGAAACUGGGAGACUUGAGUGCAGAAGAGGAAAGUGGAAUUCCAAGUGUAGCGGUGAAAUGCGUAGAGAUUUGGAGGAACACCAGUGGCGAAGGCGACUUUCUGGUCUGUAACUGACACUGAGGCGCGAAAGCGUGGGGAGCAAACA
rnacentral:rRNA from 1 species